AUUGAACGCUGGCGGCAUGCUUUACACAUGCAAGUCGGACGGCAGCACAGAGAAGCUUGCUUCUUGGGUGGCGAGUGGCGAACGGGUGAGUAACAUAUCGGAACGUACCGAGCAGUGGGGGAUAACUAAUCGAAAGAUUAGCUAAUACCGCAUAUCUUCUGAGGAAGAAAGCAGGGGACCAUUUGGCCUUGCGCUGUUUGAGCGGCCGAUACCUGAUUAGCUAGUUGGUGGGGUAAAGGCCUACCAAGGCGACGAUCAGUAGCGGGUCUGAGAGGAUGAUCCGCCACACUGGGACUGAGACACGGCCCAGACUCCUACGGGAGGCAGCAGUGGGGAAUUUUGGACAAUGGGCGCAAGCCUGAUCCAGCCAUGCCGCGUGUCUGAAGAAGGCCUUCGGGUUGUAAAGGACUUUUGUCAGGGAAGAAAAGGGCGGGGUAAUACCCCUGUCUGAUGAC
rnacentral:rRNA from 1 species